CAAGGACCCGGUGUGAUUCCGGGUGGCUCUUCCGGCCGCUGAUCCGCCGGACCACG
rnacentral:ncRNA from 30 species